CAGUAGCCGCGGUAAUACAGAGGGUGCGAGCGUUAAUCGGAUUUACUGGGCGUAAAGCGUGCGUAGGCGGCUUUUUAAGUCGGAUGUGAAAUCCCUGAGCUUAACUUAGGAAUUGCAUUCGAUACUGGGAAGCUAGAGUAUGGGAGAGGAUGGUAGAAUUCCAGGUGUAGCGGUGAAAUGCGUAGAGAUCUGGAGGAAUACCGAUGGCGAAGGCAGCCAUCUGGCCUAAUACUGACGCUGAGGUACGAAAGCAUGGGGAGCAAACAGGAUUAGAUACCCCCGGUAGUCCCUGUCUCUUAUA
rnacentral:rRNA from 1 species